rnacentral:tRNA from 1 species
CCUGUGGCUCAGUUGGUAAAGAAUCUGCCUACAAUGCAGGAGACCUGGGUUCGAUCCCCAGGUCAGGA